CGCCCAGCGUAGAAUACUCAUAUUAUUAACAUUCCCAUAAAUAUUAUUUAGAGAAGGUUUAGCCUCACUUAUCCUUUAUUUGAAAAUGUUUUCUACACAAUUUAAUAUAUCAAAUAAGGUGGCUUUUCCAUUCAGCUUCUGUUUCUCAAGAGGAUUACUGAGUUCUUGGUGUAGCCCAUUCAUAAAUAGGGCCAAAAAUGUAUAGUCUUAUGUAUGUUGAAAAAGGUCCUUAGGUAAUUCCAGUACUUCUAGCUGAAAAUCAUUCAUUUAGUUUUAAGUUCUACCUAUUACAACAAGAGUUCUCCAUCCUUGUUACAUGUUAGUAGUGUCAGGGAAGACUUAAAAAUUACCAAUGCCUUGGUCCCUCUCCAGACCUUUAAACUGGAACUAAUGGGUGGGGCUUGAGCAUCCACUUUUAAAAAUGCUUUCCAGUGAUUCCAAUGUGUAGCUCUAUUUCCCAUCAGAUUUCUCUGAUUUCUUGUGGCAUUCAAUUUUUUCUAUUUUGGUAUCAUGAUUAUUUUCAGGUCUCAUUUCCUGUCUUAGGCUUUAUGUCUCCUGGGGUAGGGACCUUGCCUUCUUCAUUUCUGUAUGUUUUUUGAACACAUGAACUGGUCAUCAGGAAAAGAUCUCAACCACACAUAGGUUGUGUUCUGAGUCUCAGGUUCACAUGUUAAUCCUAAAGUCUCCGUUCUCCAUGAGGUCAGAUGUUGCCUGUGAUGAAGGGUGUCGUUAAGUCUGCAGUGCAGAUGGUGGAGGGGAUUUCACUCUGUUUUUAGACAUAGCAUUGGAACUAAGAAUUUUAUGUCUAUAUGGGUGAAGGGGCAGGGAUGUGUAGGAAGACAGUUCUAAUUAGGAUGAAGGAAUUAUACUAGGAAGUAGAGGUAAAGGAAGUGAGAAGGCUUACUAAAUAGAAGAAAUGUGAACUUAUCAAAUAGGCUAGAGUAGACCCCUGCAGAUUCUUGAUUAAGUGAAUUAACUAGAUUUUAGAAAGGUAAUGAGGCAGUCAUAUGCAAGGAAGGUUUCAAAGUCUGGCCACAAGAAGUCAAGCAAUACUUUGAGAAGUGGUUGAGCUUUAUGGGAGUGUAGAGAAUUACACUAUUGAGAGAUGUUAAAAAUAAUGAAGAGGGUUUCACCAUGUGAAAUUGUGUUUCUCAUUUGAAUCUGAGAAACAAAUGAGCAGAGGCUGGAGAUAAUUAUGUCUAAAAGACAGUGGGGUACAGGGAGCAUAAAGGCCAGGGAGAAAGGGAACUGCAGGAAUUAGUUCUGAGAAGCAGGAGUUUAGUGGAGGAAGGAGGAGAUGCAGUCCCAGAUACAAGCAAAUAAGUCUUUUCCCUCUCCCAAGCAUGGCAGUCAGCCCUGCAGGAACCAGGAUAAGAGAAAAGGCCAUCAUACCUGCCAGUCUUCCUGAAAUACAGAAAUGACUUCACGGCUGCUAUAUUGGAUUAAGGAGAGGAAGACGUCCUAUUCCUGAAGGAGCUGUCAUGGAAAGAAAAGUAAAGAAGGAAUGAAGGUGAUGUUAUUUUACAUGGGGGAGCCUCAGGAAGAGGCAUGUAGCAUGAGGUACUCUAUAAUUGUUUCUUCAAGUACUACAUUAUUCCUCUUGGGAAAUUGAUGGGAGAUGAUUAUAUUCUUGCAGUUUUUUUUUUCCCUCUCACCAUGUUUCUAGGAUGGUGAUCAGUCCUCUGUCAAAUCUCUACUGCACUCAGAUAUUUUGGAAGGCUUUCAGACAUAAGAAAGGCUGAUUGCUAUUUUCUAUGUCAUUAGAACUUACCACCUUUUCACCUUUUCAUGGUUGCAUCUUUUUCUCAGUCUCUCUGUUGUGGCAGCCAUGAAUGAGACUCUGUCAGGUCUCCAUGGCAGGGAGCUGAUUGACAGAAGGCCCACGUCCGUGCAUUUCACAUUCAUCACCUCCUUUGCACAGAAAGCUUCUUUCCCACAGGCUCCCAGGAAGGGCGUGAAAGCAAGCCUAGUUCUCUGAGGCUCUCUUUAACUCUAAAGGGUGACUGGUUGGAGGACUCCCCCUCAGCCUUGCAAAAACUCUUAGAACUGCAUUGGUACCUAAAACUUCUUUCUCUUUCUUUUUCACAGGAAUCAGCUCUGCAUAGUGGUCUGUGGGUUCUCCCAUACUGCCUUCAUGUCUGCCCCACAUUCCCUCACAGGUGUCCUCCCUGAUAAAUUAUCUUGUAUGUCUAAUCCCAUCUUGGGUGCAUCUCAGUUGGUAAAAACUAACAUAUCAGGCUUGAUUCUUUGCACUUAGCUUUUUUUCCUUCUCUCCCACAAGUAGUCAGUAACCAUGUCCUAGUGUUUUAUGUGUUACCUCUUUUUCCAUAUAUAUGGAAAAAGGUAGGUACUGUUGAGGGGCAUUUCCUAUGUGCCAGGCCCUGUGCUAAAUACUUUACCUGUAUCUCAUUUAAUCCACACAAUAACCCUGUCAGGUAGAAAUUAUUUCCACUUUGCUGAUGAAAAGACAGAAGCUUAUCAUGGUGUAAAAACUUUCCUGGUGUCAUAUGGCUAGUGACAGGUGGAUCUGAAAUUUGAUUCUAGGACUAUUUGACCUCAAGGCUAAUGAUGAUGGUAGUAAUAUAGCAGCUGACAUUGGCUCCUCUGUGUGGCAUCUUGUUUCAUUGAUUGCAUUAAACAUUUAAAAGAAUGGUAUGAAGAAAGCACUCUCAUUGCAAUUUUCAGGUGAGGAAUCAGAGGUUCAGAGAAGUUGAGUCUUGUGCAAGAAAUUUAUAACUGUAAACUCUUACAUUAAAAAAGAAGAAAGAUCUCAGGUCAACAACCUACUUUAAUACUUCAGGAUAUGAAAGAAGAACAAACUAAACCCAAGCACAGUGAAUGAGGGAAAUAAUAAGGAUUAGAGUGGACAUAAAUAAAAUGGAGAAUGGAAAAAGAAUAGAGGAAAUUAAUGAAACCAAAAGUUGAUUCUUCAAAAUAAAAUCAACAAAAUUGACAACCAUUAACUAGAUUGACUAAGAAAAAAAGAGAAAAGUUUAAAAUUACUCAAAUCAGAAAUGAAAAUGGACUCUGAGCAUGGUGGGUCAUGUUUUAAUCCUAGCACUUUGGGAGGUCACAGCAGAAGGAUUUCUUGAGACCAGGUGUUUGGACCAGCAUGGGUAACCUGGGGAGAUGCUGUCUCUACAAAAAUAUAAAAAACCAAUUAACUGGGCAUGUUGACAUGAACCUGUAGUCAUAGCAUCUUGGGAGGCUGAAGAAGGAGAAUUGCUUGAGCCCAGGAGGUUAAGGCUGCAGUGAGCCAUAAUCACACCACUGUAUUCCAUCCUGGACUGGUCUACAUAGUGAGAGCCCGUCCCUCUCUUCAAAAAAAAAAAAAAAGAAAAAGAAAGAAAGAAAAAUGAAGCGAUUACUACCAAUUCUAAUAAAAUAAUGAUUAUGAAAGUACUAUAAAUAAUUUUAUGCAAAUAAAUUGGAUAACCUAGAUGAAAUAGACAAACUCCUAGAAACACACAAAAAUAUGAAUAGAACUAUAAUCAGUAAUAAGAUUGAAUCAAUAAAAGCAUUUGAUGAAAUUCAAUAUUUUUUCAUAAUGAAAACAUCCUAAGAAUAGAAGGAAACCACCUCAACAUAAAGGCAAUAUGUGAAAAACCCAAUGCUAGCAUCAUACUCAACGGAGAAAGACUGAAAGCUUUCCCUGUAUGAGCAGGAACAAGACAAGGAUGCCUGCUUUUGACACUUUUAUUCAACAUAGUAUUGAAAGGUCUAGUCAGAAAAAUUAGGCAAGAAUUGAAAAAAAGACAUUCAAAUUGGAAGGAAGGAGUAAAAUUCUUUCUGUUUACAGAUAACUUGAACUUAUAUGUAGAAAAUCCUAAAGGUGGAACAAACCAAUUAAAAUUAAUAAAUUCAGUAAUGUUGCACAAUACAAAAUCAACAUUCAAACAUCAGUUGUAUUUCAAUACACUAAACAUGAACAAUCUGAAGGGAAAUUAAGAAAAAUAAUUUCAAUUUAUAUUAACAUCAAAAAGAAUAAAAUAUUUAGGAAUAAGUUUAACCAAAGAGGUGAAAUAAUUAUACCUGAAAUCUACAAAAUAUUGCUGAAAGAAAUGAAAGAAGACACAAAUCUGUCCUAAAAUUUAUAUUGCAUCUCAUGACUCUAAAUAGACACAUAGCUUUGAAGAGGAAGAAUGAAGCUGGAGGACUCACACUUCCUGAUUUCAGCAUUUACUACAAAGCCCUAGUAAUCAAUACAGUGUGGUACUGGCAUAAAGGAGGACAUAGAAAUUAAUGAAAUAUCAUAGCCCAGAAAGAAAUGCUUGCAUAUAUGGCCAAAUGAUUUUCAUGGAGUGUUCCAAGAUCAUUCAAUGGGGAACGGACAGUGUUCUCACCAAAUGAUAUUGGGAAAGCUGGAUAUCCAAGGGCAAGAGAGUGGAACCUUUACCUAACACCAUGCAUAAAAAUUAACCCACAAUAGAUCAAAGAUCUAAAUGUAAGAGUAAAAACUACAGAACUCUUAGAAGAAAAGCUUCAUGAUACUGGAUUUCACAAUGAUUUCUUGGUUGUAACAACAAAAGCAUAGGCAACAAAUAAAAUGGAUUAAUUGGACUUCACAAAAAUCAAAACCUUUUAUAUAUCAAAGAACAUUAUCAAGAAAGUAAAAAGGCAACCUAUGAAAUGAUAAAAAUAUUUGCAAAUUAUAUGUGUGAUAAGAAAUUAAUUUCCAGAAUACAUGAAAAGCUACAAGUCAACAACAGCAAACAUCCAAAAACCCAAUUAAAAAAUGAACAAAGGAUUAAAAUGGAGUUUUCUCCAAGGAAGAUAUACAAAUAUCCAAUAAGCCCAUGCAAAGUUCCUCAGCAUCACGAAUACUUAGAGAUAUGCAAAUCAAAACCACAAUGUUACACCACCUCACACACUUUAGGAUGGCUUUGAUAAACAACAAAAAUGACAGCAACACAAAACAACAGGUGUUUUCAAGUAGAUGGAAAAAUUGGAGCUCUAGUGCAUUGCUGAUGGGAAUGGGAAAUGUUAUAGCCACUGUAAAAAGUGGUGUGGCUGUUUCUCAAAAAAUUAAACAAUAACUUACCAUUUGAUCCAGCAAUUCCACUUCUGGACAAACUCCCCAUAGAAAUGAAAAAAAAUUGAACAAAUAUUUGUACACUGAUGUUCAGAGAAGCAUUACUCACACUAGCGAAAAAAUGGAAACAACUGAAAAGUCCAUUGAAAGAUAAGUGGGUAGGCAAAUGAGGUGUAUCUACAAUUAAAAUGUUAUUCAACCUUAACAAGGAAUAAAAUUCCAAUACAUCGUGCAAAAUGGAUGAACCUUAAAGAUAUUAUGCUAACUGAAAUAAACCAGACACAAAAGGAUAAUUAUCAUAUAAUUCCAUUUAUAAAAGAUAGUUAGAAUAGCCAGUUACAUAGAGACAGAAUGUAGAAUGGUG
rnacentral:lncRNA from 1 species